UACGUAGGGUGCAAGCGUUGCCCGGAUUUAUUGGGCGUAAAGGGCGCGUAGGCGGCCCGGCGCGUCCGCGGUGAAAGCUCCCGGCUCAACUGGGAGAGGUCCGCGGAAACGGUCGGGCUGGAGCAAGGUAGGGGGUCGUGGAAUUCCCGGUGUAGUGGUGGAAUGCGUAGAGAUCAGGCGGAACACCCGUGGCGAAGGCGGCCAGCUGGGCCGUCCCUGACGCUGAGGCGCGAAGGCGUGGGGAGCGAACGGG
rnacentral:rRNA from 1 species